rnacentral:misc_RNA from 1 species
UUGAAUUUUAACGAAGAGUUUGGUUGUAGCUGGCCCAUUCAUUUGGGCAUGUGCACACCUUCCUCUUUCAUCCCACACACACCUGUGAGCCUGUGAGACAGAGAUGGGGAAUUUACUUGCUGCUUUUUGGAAUACAAAGGCAAUAGGUUAUUGGACCCCCCCUCUGUCUACUCAAUUAAUAUAAACUCAAUUUAUUUUAAAACGAAUGUAAUGGAUGUAACACAUCUCAUAC